rnacentral:rRNA from 1 species
AACGAACGCUGGCGGCAUGCCUAACACAUGCAAGUCGAACGAAGGCUUCGGCCUUAGUGGCGCACGGGUGAGUAACACGUGGGAAUUUGCCUUUCGGUUCGGGAUAACGUCUGGAAACGGACGCUAACACCGGAUACGCCCCCCAAAGAGAUUUGGGCGGGGAAAGUUUACGCCGAGAGAGAAGCCCGCGUCCGAUUAGGUAGUUGGUGGGGUAACGGCCUACCAAGCCGACGAUCGGUAGCUGGUCUGAGAGGAUGAUCAGCCACACUGGGACUGAGACACGGCCCAGACUCCUACGGGAGGCAGCAGUGGGGAAUAUUGGACAAUGGGCGCAAGCCUGAUCCAGCAAUGCCGCGUGAGUGAUGAAGGCCUUCGGGUUGUAAAGCUCUUUCGCACGCGACGAUGAUGACGGUAGCGUGAGAAGAAGCCCCGGCUAACUUCGUGCCAGCCGCCGCCGUAACAC